rnacentral:sRNA from 1 species
AUUGCUUUCCAUGCAUUGUUUGCCAGUCAAGUCAUCUAACAGAGUUACUCCGAAUCACUGAAUUGCUGUGUGUAGUCUUUGCCCGUCUUUUGAUGGGCUUUUUUUUGU